rnacentral:rRNA from 1 species
UGCAGUCGAACGGUAGCAGGAAGUGCUUGCACUUUGCUGACGAGUGGCGGACGGGUGAGUAAUACUUAGGAACAUGCCUUUGUGUGGGGGAUAACCAUUGGAAACGAUGGCUAAUACCGCAUAAUGUCUUUGGACCAAAGAGGGCUUUCGGGCUCUCGCGCAAAGAGUGGCCUAAGUGAGAUUAGCUUGUUGGUGAGGUAAAGGCUCACCAAGGCGACGAUCUCUAGCUGUUCUGAGAGGAAGAUCAGCCACACUGGGACUGAGACACGGCCCAGACUCCUACGGGAGGCAGCAGUGGGGAAUAUUGCACAAUGGGGGCAACCCUGAUGCAGCCAUGCCGCGUGUGUGAAGAAGGCCUUCGGGUUGUAAAGCACUUUCAGUUGUGAGGAAAGGUUGGUGGUUAAUACCCAUCAGCUGUGACGUUAGCAACAGAAGAAGCACCGGCUAACUCCGUGCCAGCAGCCGCGGUAAUACGGAGGGUGCGAGCGUUAAUCGGAAUUACUGGGCGUAAAGCGCACGCAGGCGGUUAUAUAAGCUAGAUGUGAAAGCCCCGGGCUCAACCUGGGAAUAGCAUUUAGAACUGUAUGACUAGAGUCUUGGAGAGGGGAGUGGAAUUCCAGGUGUAGCGGUG